AUGAAUCCGAGGCGCCGAGAGUUCUGGAAAGCCUCGCUGCGCGCGCGGAGGAAGCGAGCCGCUUUCCACCCUCCGCACACGAGGCUGCGUGGAUCAAUGAUGCCCGUCCGCGUCCCCGUGGGGAAGGCCCGUCGUUCAGGGGAGAUGUAUGGAUGCCAAGAAGGAACAAAGUCACCAUGGUGAUGAGGUGAUGAGCUUGUUGUCUCAUAAGGGUGGAGGAGACAAAAUAAACAGAACCUCCAUGAGGUUCCAUACACACUACUACGAAGACAUGCGUCAGUUCACAUGUCCGUACCUCUAGGAUGACAUCAGUCCUGGACAGACAGCGUCCUCUGCAGAAGCUAACCUCCACGUUGUCGAGUCGACAGUCGCCCUUGGUGAGGUUCCUGACCUGAAC